UCGGGUUGUAAAGCACUUUUGUCCGGAAAGAAAACUUCGGCCCUAAUACGGCGGGAGGAUGACGGUACCGGAAGAAUAAGCACCGGCUAACUACGUGCCAGCAGCGCGGUAAUCGUAGGGUGCGAGCGUUAAUCGGAAUUACUGGGCGUAAAGCGUGCGCAGGCGGUUCGUUAAGACAGAUGUGAAAUCCCCGGGCUUAACCUGGGAACUGCAUUUGUGACUGGCGAGCUAGAGUAUGGCAGAGGGGGGUAGAAUUCCACGUGUAGCAGUGAAAUGCGUAGAGAUGUGGAGGAAUACCGAUGGCGAAGGCAGCCCCCUGGGCCAAUACUGACGCUCAUGCACGAAAGCGUGGGGAGCAAACAGGAUUAGAUACCCUGGUAGUCCACGCCCUAAACGAUGUCAACUAGUUGUUGGGUCUUCAUUGACUUAGUAACGUAGCUAACGCGUGAAGUUGACCGCCUGGGGAGUACGGUCGCAAGAUUAAAACUCAAAGGAAUUGACGGGGACCCGCACAAGCGGUGGAUGAAGGUGGAUUAAUUCGAUGCAACGCGAAAAACCUUACCUACCCUUGACAUGGUCGGAACCCUGCUG
rnacentral:rRNA from 1 species